rnacentral:rRNA from 1 species
UAUUGGGCAAUGGAGGCAACUCUGACCCAGCCAUGCCGCGUGCAGGAAGACGGUCCUCUGGAUUGUAAACUGCUUUUGAAUGGGAAGAACAACACUCUUGCGAGAGUGUCUGACGGUACUAUUAGAAUAAGCACCGGCUAACUCCGUGCCAGCAGCCGCGGUAAUACGGAGGGUGCAAGCGUUAUCCGGAUUUAUUGGGUUUAAAGGGUGCGUAGGCGGCUUUUUAAGUCUGGGGUUAAAGGCGGCAGCUUAACUGUACGCAUGCCUUGGAAACUGGGGAGCUUGAGAUACUUGGAGGUAGCUAGAAUUCCCUGUGUAGCGGUGAAAUGCAUAGAUACGGGGAGGAAUACCGAUUGCGAAGGCAUGUUACUACGAGUAAACUGACGCUGAUGCACGAAAGCGUGGGGAUCAAACAGG